UGCUUGCAUGAGGGAUGUAAUGGAAAUCCUUUUUUAUUUUUUUUUCUAAAAUAAAAAAGAUUGGGAAUGGAAGCCCGACCCCGC
rnacentral:sRNA from 1 species